rnacentral:rRNA from 1 species
AGAGUUUGAUCAUGGCUCAGAACGAACGCUGGCGGCGUGGAUAAGACAUGCAAGUCGAACGCUAAUCACGAGGUAGCAAUAUUUCGUGGUUGGAGUGGCGCAAGGGUGCGUAACGCGUGGGUAAUCUACCGUGAAGUUUGGGAUAACUCGCUGAAAGGCGAGCUAAUACCGGAUGUGAAAAUAGAGAGGCAUCUCUUUAUCUUCAAAGCUGGGGACCGCAAGGCCUGGCGCUUUAUGAUGAACCCGCGACCUAUCAGCUAGUUGGUGAGGUAACGGCCCACCAAGGCUAAGACGGGUAGCUGGUCUGAGAGGACGACCAGCCACACUGGAACUGAGACACGGUCCAGACACCUACGGGUGGCAGCAGUCGAGAAUUUUUCACAAUGGGCGAAAGCCUGAUGGAGCGACGCCGCGUGGGGGAUGAAUGGCUUCGGCCCGUAAACCCCUGUCAUUUGCGAACAAACCUUGCUAUUUAAAAGAUGGCAAGCUGGAUGGCAGCGAAAGAGGAAGGGACGGCUAACUCUGUGCCAGCAGCCGCGGUA